GGGGUUGUAAUAUAGCUUGGUCUAGUAUUCCGCCUUGGGGUGGCGGCAACCCGAGUUCAAAUCUCGGCAACCCCA
rnacentral:tRNA from 1 species